rnacentral:rRNA from 1 species
UAGGGAAUAUUGCUUAAUGGGCGAAAGCCUGAAGCAGCAACGCCGCGUGCACGAUGAAGGUCUUCGGAUCGUAAAGUGCUUUUUAGAGGAUGAGGAAGGACAGUACUCUAAGAAUAAGCCUCGGCUAACUACGUGCCAGCAGCCGCGGUAAAACGUAGGAGGCGAGCGUUAUCCGGAUUUACUGGGCGUAAAGCGUGUGCAGGUGGUUUGGCAAGUUGGAUGUGAAAGCUCCUGGCUUAACUGGGAGAGGUCGUUCAAUACUGCCAGACUUGAGAGUGAGAGAGGGAGGUGGAAUUCCGGGUGUAGUGGUGAAAUGCGUAGAUAUCCGGAGGAACACCAGUGGCGAAAGCGGCCUCCUGGCUCAUUUCUGACACUCAUACACGAAAGCUAGGGUAGCAAACGG